UGAGGAGGGGAGGGCAGCAGUGCUGGCUGGACAGCUGCUCUGGGCAGGAGAGAGAGGGAGAGACAAGAGACACACACAGAGAGACGGCGAGGAAGGGAAAGACCCAGAGGGACGCCUAGAACGAGACUUGGAGCCAGACAGAGGAAGAGGGGACGUGUGUUUGCAGACUGGCUGGGCCCGUGACCCAGCUUCCUGAGUCCUCCGUGCAGGUGGCAGCUGUACCAGGCUGGCAGGUCACUGAGAGUGGGCAGCUGGGCCCCAGAACUGUGCCUGGCCCAGUGGGCAGCAGGAGCUCCUGACUUGGGACCAUGGUGAUUCUUCAGCAGGGGGACCAUGUGUGGAUGGACCUGAGAUCGGGG
rnacentral:lncRNA from 1 species